CACUAUGGCGGGCCGGGCGGGGCAGCCGUCAGGCUGGCCGGGCUUCGUUGGUGAUCCGGUACUUCGACCCCCGCUGUCAGGCCCGCCACCCUC
rnacentral:antisense_RNA from 2 species